CCAUAAGGGCCCAGGGCAGUGUAAAACACCAGUGAAGAACUGCCCAGGAUUCCGUCUGCGAAUCAUAGAAGCAUUUCUCUGAGUUCCAGCCUAUAAUCUUGGAGCACAUACAUGUUUCUGACAUCCUUAUCCGGCUCAUCCUACUAGGCCAUGGAACUCAACUGCGAACAUCCAUCUCAGCUUGUUGAGUAAUGAUCCAUGUACUCUGUAAGUGAGGCAUUGGGUAGUGAGACAAUAGAAACUGGAAACAAAGAAGGCCUGUCUUCUUUUCUAUUGUUUGGGGCCUAGAAGAGAGAUUUAUGCCCACAAAGAGCUCUCCAUUGGCACAGGUGAGAAAUGUGUGUUCUCCACCCAUGGAGGGGCUAAGAGUGCUGAUAUCGGUUGAUGUAAAUGUUGAUGAAGUCCCCAGAAUCCGAAUGCCCAUUGCCCACCAGUGAGGGUAUUAGCUACUAAGCUGCAUUGCUUAUGAAUAAACCUUCUGUGUGCUGCCUGCCUCAUUCCAGAAAUAUCCCUGCCUCCUAGAAGGAGAGACCAAGCCAGGCCUCUCUCUCCUGGGACUUGCCCUUCGAGGACCCUCUGCACUGACCUGGAACCUUCAGAAAAUGUCUCUCUGGUUUCCAUCUGCUGUGAUAACUGCUAUUAAUCAAGAUGCCUGCUGUCAUCCCAUCUCCGGCUGUGAUUUCUGUCAUCUCGUCAGUGCUAAGGAGGGUCACUUCUUAGGAAGAAAGAUGCACCUGAGGGACUUGGCAGGAGCAUCUUCUGCAUCAUGUGAGCAGACCCUGAGCUGGUAAACUCCACAUUCUAAAGGACACAUUAAACAAAAUCUAAAAGUAUCUCUGUUUUCAAAGAUUCAUCCAGCAGCAGAUUUUCCCAAGAUCCUGUAAGAGCUGGGAAGUUAGGUUCCUCCUGUUCACACAUAUUUAUACAGAGUAUACCUAAGUCUCAGAUCUCAUUAGAAUUUAAAGCCACUGUCUGCCCUGUGACUUGGGAUUUUGUGGUCUUUGUAAGUACACAUGUGUUUCCUUUUCAAGAACUCCAGGGUCCUUGUGAAGCUAAUUUGUCUGGAGUCAUCCCAGCCCCCUCUUCAAAGUUUUACAAUAGAUUUAGAAAGUAAUUUAAGCCUAAACAAUGUUUUAAAAAUGAUUUGAAGGGGCC